GAAGAAUCGGACCACACCCUUACAAAAAUACAGAGAAGCGGUGCAAAGAGAGGAGCGAAAAUCUUCUCCAAAAAAUCAAGCUUUCAUUCCCUCUUCUUCCUCCAUUGAGUCUCACUCUCACUCUCAAACGGAAGAUACACACAGAGAAACACCAAAGAUUUGAAAAACAAAUUUUUCAAAAUCUCAAAGAAAAUCAAACAGAUCUAAAUCCGAUAAAAAGAGUUCCAAACAAAAAUCAAAAACAAAAAGAAGAAGAAAGCUGGAAUUAGAGGGACUGGCAUCGAUUUCUCUUGGCUUGGCGUUGAUUUUCUGGGUUUGGUUGAGUUAUUUUGCUGAUGUUCUUCUCUGCUGGGCUUGAGAUUCAAAUCCUCUGUUAUUGGACCUUUACUCGAUUCAGAAAAUUUUGAACCCGGUAGCGGGUGUUGAUUGCUCAGUGGCAGAGUCAUCGGAGUUAGCAAGGUAGCUUCCCGAUGUUCGCAACAUUGUUUUUCUCCCUCCUGUCUUCCUUAUAUUGUAUUUAGGAUAUUUUUAGACUCUUCAUUGUAUUUUGACCUUUGUAGAUGCUCGUGACUUGUGACACCCCGAUGUCAGGCUUGUGUAUUUAUUUCGCACUGUCCAUUUAGAUUUACAUUACGAGAUAUUUGAUUAAUUAAAGGCUUAAAAAUGA